UUUACUUGAUUAACUGGGCAAGCACAGGCCGGAGCAGAAACGCGUAAGGUCGUCGGGAGCGUUAGUUGUGUAUAAGAAACAGGGUCUGGGGGGUAUCGACCCCCUCCGAGCCGUAGCUAACGCGAUAAGUAUCCCGCCUGGGGAGUACGGCCGCAAGGCUAAAACUCAAAGGAAUUGACGGGGACCCGCACAAGCAGCGGAGCGUGUGGUUUAAUUCGAUGAUAAGCGAAGAACCUUACCAGGGCUUGACAUGCUUUUGACCGGCUGCGAAAGCAGCCUUUCCUUCGGGACAGAUGCACAGAUGUUGCAUGGCUGUCGUCAGCUCGUGCCGUGAGGUGUUGGGUUAAGUCCCGCAACGAGCGCAACCCCUGUCGUUAGUUAGAAUGUCUAGCGAGACUGCCCCUAAACAGGGGAGGAAGGUGGGGAUGACGCCAAGUCAUCAUGGCUCUUACGUCCUGGGCUACACACACGCUACAAUGGGCGGCACAGAGGGUUGCGAAGGCGCGAGCCGGAGCUAAUCCCACAAAGCCGUCCCCAGCUGGGAUUGCAGGCUGAAACCCGCCUGCAUGAACGCGGAGUUGCUAGUAACCGCAGGUCAGCACACUGCGGUGAAUACGUUCCCGGGUCUUGUACACACCGCCCGUCACGUCAUGGAAGUCGGUAACACUUGAAGUCGCUGGGCCAACCCGCAAGGGGGGCAGGCGCCGAGGGUGGGACUGGUAACUGGGACGAAGUCGUAACAAGGUAGCUGUACCGGAAGGUGCGGCUG
rnacentral:rRNA from 1 species